rnacentral:tRNA from 1 species
UCCUGAUGGUUCAGAUGGUAAGAAUCCACCUAUAAUGUAGAAGACCCAGGUUCAAUCCCUGGAUUGGGAG